rnacentral:rRNA from 1 species
CUACAUAUCAAUAAGCGGAGGAAAAGAAACUAACAAGGAUUCCCCUAGUAACUGCGAGUGAAGCGGGAAAAGCUCAAAUUUAAAAUCUGGCGGUCUUUGGCCGUCCGAGUUGUAGUCUGGAGAAGUGUUUUCCGCGCUGGACCGUGUAUAAGUCUCUUGGAACAGAGCGUCAUAGAGGGUGAGAAUCCCGUCUUUGACACGGACUACCAGUGCUUUGUGAUGCGCUCUCGAAGAGUCGAGUUGUUUGGGAAUGCAGCUCAAAAUGGGUGGUAAAUUCCAUCUAAAGCUAAAUAUUGGCGAGAGACCGAUAGCGAACAAGUACCGUGAGGGAAAGAUGAAAAGCACUUUGGAAAGAGAGUUAAACAGUACGUGAAAUUGCUGAAAGGGAAACGCUUGAAGUCAGUCGCGUCUGCCGGAACUCAGCCUUGCUUUUGCUUGGUGCAUUUUCCGGUAGACGGGCCAGCAUCGAUUUUGACCGUCGGAAAAGGGCUAGAGAAAUGUGGCACCCUCGGGUGUGUUAUAGUCUCUGGUCGCAUACGGCGGUUGGGAUCGAGGAACGCAGCGCGCCGCAAGGCAGGGGUUCGCCCACUUUCGCGCUUAGGAUGCUGGCGUAAUGGCUUUAAACGACCCGUCUUGAAACACGGACCAAGGAGUCUAACAUGCCUGCGAGUGUUUGGGUGGUAAACCCGAGCGCGUAAUGAAAGUGAAAGUUGAGACCUCUGUCGUGGAGGGCAUCGACGCCCGGACCUGACGUUCUCUGACGGAUCCGCGGUAGAGCAUGUAUGUUGGGACCCGAAAGAUGGUGAACUAUGCCUGAAUAGGGUGAAGCCAGAGGAAACUCUGGUGGAGGCUCGUAGCGAUUCUGACGUGCAAAUCGAUCGUCAAAUUUGGGGUAUAGGGGGCGAAAGACUAAUCGAACCAUCUAGUAGCUGGUCCUGCGUCC